rnacentral:rRNA from 1 species
UACGUAGGGGGCUAGCGUUGUCCGGAAUCAUUGGGCGUAAAGAGCGUGUAGGCGGCCCGGUAAGUCCGCUGUGAAAGUCGGGGGCUCAACCCUCGAAAGCCGGUGGAUACUGUCGGGCUAGAGUGCGGAAGAGGCGAGUGGAAUUCCUGGUGUAGCGGUGGAAUGCGCAGAUAUCAAGGAGGAACACCAAUAGCGAAGGCAGCUCGCUGGGACGGUACUGACGCUAAGGUGCGAAAGCGUG